rfam:Homo sapiens chromosome 21, GRCh38 reference primary assembly.
GCCGGGCGUGGUGGCACACGCCUGUAAUCCCAACUAUUUGGGAGGCUGAGGCAGGAGAAUUUCUUGAACCCAGGAGGCGGAGGUUGCAGUGAGCUGGGAUUGCGCCACUGCACUCCAGCCUGGGUAACAGAGCAAGACUCUGUCUCCA